rnacentral:rRNA from 2 species
UACGUAGGGUGCGAGCGUUAAUCGGAAUUACUGGGCGUAAAGCGUGCGCAGGCGGUUCGUUGUGUCUGCUGUGAAAUCCCCGGGCUCAACCUGGGAAUGGCAGUGGAAACUGGCGAGCUUGAGUGUGGCAGAGGGGGGUGGAAUUCCGCGUGUAGCAGUGAAAUGCGUAGAGAUGCGGAGGAACACCGAUGGCGAAGGCAACCCCCUGGGCUGACACUGACGCUCAGGCACGAAAGCGUGGGGAGCAAACAGG